rnacentral:rRNA from 1 species
AAACGACUCUCGGCAACGGAUAUCUCGGCUCACGCAUCGAUGAAAACGUAGCAAAAUGCGAUACUUGGUGUGAAUU